AUGAGCUACUACAACCCGCAUGCCCCUGUCGGCGCCCCGCCCCCGCAAGGGUACCCGAUGGACCCGUACGCCAAGACCGGCGUCGAGGAGAGCCAGCACCAGCACCAGCCGUACCCGACGCCGCCGGGCCAGCCGUACCCGCCGUCGCCGCAGAACCAGCCGUACCCUCCGUCGCCGCCGAACCAGCCGUACCCUCCUGCGCCGAACCAGCCGUACCCGCCGUCGCCGCCGAACCAGCCGUACCCUCCUCCGCCGAACCAGCCGUACCCGCCGUCGCCGCCGCAGCAGCAGAACCGCGAGCAGUACGCGCCACUGCCGCCCGGCCAGCCGUACCCGUCGCCGGCUGGCCAACCGUACCCGCCGCCGCCGGUCCAGCCGUACCCGCCGCCGCCGGUCCAGCCGUACCCGCCGCCGAUGGCUUACCCGGCGCACCAGUACGCGCAGCCCUACGGGUACCCGCCGUACGCGCAGCCUCCACCGCCCCCGCCGCACCGGCACGAGGGCCCGUCCUUCGCCCAGGGAUGUCUUGCAGCAUGUUGUUGCUGUUGUCUCAUGGAUGCAUGCUUCUAA
rnacentral:rRNA from 1 species